rnacentral:rRNA from 1 species
GAUGAACGCUAGCGGCAGGCUUAAUACAUGCAAGUCGAGGGACAGCACAGGUAGCAAUACUGGGUGGUAACCGGCAAACGGGUGCGGAACACGUACACAACCUUCCUUUAAGUGGGGGAUAGCCCAGAGAAAUUUGGAUUAAUACCCCGUAAUAUAGUUGAAUGGCAUCAUUUGAUUAUUAUAGCUACGGCGCUUAAUGAUGGGUGUGCGGCUGAUUAGAUAGUUGGCGGGGUAACGGCCCACCAAGUCUACGAUCAGUAGCUGAUGUGAGAGCAUGAUCAGCAAAACGGGCACUGAGAAACGGGCCCGACUCCUACGGGAGGCAGCAGUAAGGAAUAUUGGUCAAUGGACGCAAGUCCGAACCAGCCAUGCCGCGUGAAGGAUUAAGGUCCUCUGGAUUGUAACCCUCUUUUAUUUGGGACGAAAAAGGGCCUUUCUAGGUCAACUGACGGUACCAGAUGAAUAAGCACCGGCUAACUCCGUGCCAGCCGCCGCCGUAAUAC